rnacentral:rRNA from 1 species
UACAGAGGUCCCAAGCGUUGUUCGGAUUCAUUGGGCGUAAAGGGUGUGUAGGUGGCGCGCUAAGUCGGGUGUGAAAUUUCGGAGCUUAACUCCGAAACUGCAUUCGAUACUGGCGUGCUUGAGGACUGGAGAGGAGACUGGAAUUCAUGGUGUAGCAGUGAAAUGCGUAGAUAUCGUAAGGAAGACCAGUGGCGAAGGCGGGUCUCUGGACAGUUCCUGACGCUGAGGCACGAAGGCCAGGGGAGCAAACGGG